rnacentral:rRNA from 1 species
AACGAACGCUGGCGGCAUGCCUAACACAUGCAAGUCGAACGAAGCCUUCGGGCUUAGUGGCGCACAGGUGCGUAACGCGUGGGAAUCUGCCCUUUGGUUCGGAAUAACAGUUGGAAACGACUGCUAAUACCGGAUGAUGACGAAAGUCCAAAGAUUUAUCGCCAGAGGAUGAGCCCGCGUAGGAUUAGCUAGUUGGUGUGGUAAAGGCGCACCAAGGCGACGAUCCUUAGCUGGUCUGAGAGGAUGAUCAGCCACACUGGGACUGAGACACGGCCCAGACUCCUACGGGAGGCAGCAGUGGGGAAUAUUGGACAAUGGGCGAAAGCCUGAUCCAGCAAUGCCGCGUGAGUGAUGAAGGCCCUAGGGUUGUAAAGCUCUUUUACCCGGGAUGAUAAUGACAGUACCGGGAGGAUAAGCCCCGGCUAACUCCGUGCCAGCCGCCGCCGUAA